UGAGGAACAUGACCUUCGGCGGGGGAUAGCCGGCCCAACGGCCGGGUAAUACCGCGUACGACCUUCCGGGGACAUCCCUGGAUGGUGAAAGCAGCAAUGCGCCGAUGGAGUGCCUCGCGGCCUAUCAGCUAGUUGGUGGGGUAAUGGCUCACCAAGGCGACGACGGGUAGCUGGUCUGAGAGGAUGGCCAGCCACAUUGGGACUGAGACACGGCCCAGACUCCUACGGGAGCA
rnacentral:rRNA from 1 species